UACGAAGGGGCUAGCGUUGUUCGGAAUUACUGGGCGUAAAGCGCACGUAGGCGGGUCGUUAAGUCAGGGGGGAAAUCCCGGAGCUCAACUCCGGAACUGCCUUUGAUACUGGCGAUCUUGAGAUCGGAAGAGGUGAGUGGAAUUCCCAGUGUAGAGGUGAAAUUCGUAGAUAUUGGGAAGAACACCAGUGGCGAAGGCGGCUCACUGGUCCGAUACUGACGCUGAGGUGCGAAAGCGUGGGGAGCAAACAGG
rnacentral:rRNA from 1 species